rnacentral:rRNA from 1 species
UACGGAGGGGGCUAGCGUUGUUCGGAAUCACUGGGCGUAAAGGGCGCGUAGGCGGCUGUUCAAGUCGGGGGUGAAAUCCCGUGGCUCAACCACGGAAUGGCCUUCGAUACUGGACGGCUCGAGACCGGAAGAGGUGAGUGGAACUGCGAGUGUAGAGGUGAAAUUCGUAGAUAUUCGCAAGAACACCAGUGGCGAAGGCGGCUCACUGGUCCGGUUCUGACGCUGAGGCGCGAAAGCGUGGGGAGCAAACAGG